rnacentral:rRNA from 1 species
UGAGGAAUAUUGGUCAAUGGACGCAAGUCUGAACCAGCCAAGUAGCGUGCAGGAUGACGGCCCUAUGGGUUGUAAACUGCUUUUAUAUGGGGAUAAAGUGGGGAACGUGUUCUCUUUUGCAGGUACCAUAUGAAUAAGGACCGGCUAAUUCCGUGCCAGCAGCCGCGGUAAUACGGAAGGUUCGGGCGUUAUCCGGAUUUAUUGGGUUUAAAGGGAGCGUAGGCCGUUUGGUAAGCGUGUUGUGAAAUGUAGGAGCUCAACUUCUAGAUUGCAGCGCGAACUGUCAGACUUGAGUGCGCACAACGUAGGCGGAAUUCAUGGUGUAGCGGUGAAAUGCUUAGAUAUCAUGAAGAACACCGAUGGCGAAGGCAGGUCUCUGGGUAGUAACUGACGCUGAGGAGCGAAAGCAUGGGUAGCGAACAGG